rnacentral:rRNA from 1 species
CACGUAGGGCGCGAGCGUUGUCCGGAAUUAUUGGGCGUAAAGCGCGCGCAGGCGGUCCUUUAAGUCUGAUGUGAAAGCCCACGGCUCAACCGUGGAGGGUCAUUGGAAACUGGGGGACUUGAGUACAGAAGAGAAGAGUGGAAUUCCACGUGUAGCGGUGAAAUGCGUAGAGAUGUGGAGGAACACCAGUGGCGAAGGCGACUCUUUGGUCUGUAACUGACGCUGAGGCGCGAAAGCGUGGGGAGCAAACAGG